CACAGGUGAGGGACAUGAGGCUAACGAGACACAGGCAUGCAGAGUGAUAACUGGGGGAACAGACAUGACACAGGUUACUGAACACUAGACGAUAGACGAGACAGAACCCCAAUACACAACAGACCAAAAUAACAGAUAAUCAACUGACCAAACUCAAGAGGCAGAGUGUGACAAGUGGUCCAUGUCCAUUUCUUUUUUGCCAUAUAGCCAACCAUCCUGCUUAAAACAAGUUAUUGAUGCAUUAUGUUUUCCUGUUAAGGCCAAAGUUGAAAACCAUUAAUCUACAUACAUUUAUGUGUUUGCUGAGUUCCAUUGCUUUACAAAUGUUGAACCUAUGCAACCAAUUCUACUGCGAGCUUGAGAGAUACACACCACAACUGAUUGCUCUGUACAGGCAGAAGGCCAAGAGAGCAGAGGCCCUGCAGAGAUCCUCAGGAUUUAUGACCUCCAGGACCAACAUGAUGUACGCAUGAGACGUCAUCCGACCCUCCAUGCCCUUCCAGUGAACCCGCUAGAGGAUGACUGACUUCUUCAAAACCUGCAAUUUGAGUCAGAUUAAGAAAGCGUCAGUACAGACAGAAGGAAUCAUAACAGCCACCAGUAACUCUUAACAUUUUGUCAUGGUAAAGAUGAACCAGACAUUGCUGACACUCCUCACUGUGAUCACUGACACUGAUGCUCCUGGUGCAGUCCGCUUCAACCCAAGUGAAAGGUGGCUGUAGAUGGAUUUGUUACAAACUCCUGAAAACACUUCUGAACUAUAUGCUCAGUAUGUUUACUGCAAGCUUACACCGGGGGAUAUUCAAAACAAAGGUUUUUGCUCAGUGUUCUUUUUUUAUAUUGUUCCAUUACCUCGUCUCCCUCACUUAACAAUUUGCAUUGUGUGGGACUUCUUAUUUUAAACAAAUGUCAUUAGCUAUCUUUAUUUGCUUUUGAUUCCCCAAAAGUAGAAUUUCUUUUCUUUUUUUCUUACUCUGUAUUUAGAGCUCCCUUAAAUAUUAUUUAAGUAAAAGUGCUGCUGUUCGAAUAAAAUUAUGCAUUGUUGCUUUUUCCACAUAACACACU